rnacentral:SRP_RNA from 1 species
UUCGGGGCAAGUUUGUUUAACUGCUUAAUUGGUCAGGUCCGGAAGGAAGCAGCCAGAGUGGUUGGCAGCUGUGCCCCGUCUUA